AGUCGAGCGGUAACAUUUCUAGCUUGCUAGAAGAUGACGAGCGGCGGACGGGUGAGUAAUCUUAGGAAUCUACCUAGUAGUGGGGGAUAGCUCGGGGAAACUCGAAUUAAUACCGCAUACGACCUACGGGAGAAAGGGGGCAACUUGUUGCUCUCGCUAUUAUAUGAGCCUAAGUCGGAUUAGCUAGAUGGUGGGGUAAAGGCCUACCAUGGCGACGAUCUGUAGCUGGUCUGAGAGGAUGAUCAGCCACACCGGAACUGAGACACGGUCCGGACUCCUACGGGAGGCAGCAGUGGGGAAUAUUGGACAAUGGGGGCAACCCUGAUCCAGCCAUGCCGCGUGUGUGAAGAAGGCCUUUUGGUUGUAAAGCACUUUAAGCAGUGAAGAAGACUCCGUGGUUAAUACCCACGGACGAUGACAUUAGCUGCAGAAUAAGCACCGGCUAACUCUGUGCCAGCAGCCGCGGUAAUACAGAGGGUGCAAGCGUUAAUCGGAAUUACUGGGCGUAAAGCGAGCGUAGGUGGCUUGAUAAGUCAGAUGUGAAAUCCCCGGGCUUAACCUGGGAACUGCAUCUGAUACUGUUAGGCUAGAGUAGGUGAGAGGAAGGUAGAAUUCCAGGUGUAGCGGUGAAAUGCGUAGAGAUCUGGAGGAAUACCGAUGGCGAAGGCAGCCUUCUGGCAUCAUACUGACACUGAGGCUCGAAAGCGUGGGUAGCAAACAGGAUUAGAUACCCUGGUAGUCCACGCCGUAAACGAUGUCUACUAGUCGUUGGGUCCCUUGAGGACUUAGUGACGCAGCUAACGCAAUAAGUAGACCGCCUGGGG
rnacentral:rRNA from 1 species